rnacentral:rRNA from 1 species
UACGUAGGGGCAGCAGUCGUUCGAUUCGAUUUGUGGCGUAAAGCGCUCGCAGGUGGUUCGAUGCGUCGUGCGUGAAAGCCCCCGGCUCAACUGGGGAGUGUCGUGCGAUACGGUCGAACUGGAGGCCAGUAGGGGGAUGCGGAAUUCCGGGUGUAGUGGUGGAAUGCGUAGAGAUCCGGAGGAACACCAGCGGCGAAGGCGGCAUCCUGGACUGGUCCUGACACUCAUGAGCGAAAGCGUGGGGAGCGAUCCGG